ensembl:misc_RNA Metazoa_SRP Metazoan signal recognition particle RNA
GCCAGGCGUGGUGGUGCACGCCUGUAGUCCCAACAAUUUGGGAGGCUGAGGCAGGAGAAUAGCUUGAGCCCAGGGGUUAGAGACCAGCCUGGGCAACAGAGCAAGACCCUGUCUCUA